GGACCUGACUGCUAUCGGAUUGAUACUAAGCCAUGCGAGUCAUUGUAGCAAUACAAGGCAUACGGCUCAGUAACGCGUAGUCAACCUAACCUAUGGACGGGAAUAACCUCGGGAAACUGAGAAUAAUGCCCGAUAGAACAUUAUGCCUGGAAUGGUUUAUGUUCCAAAUGAUUUAUCGCCGUAGGAUGGGACUGCGGCCUAUCAGUUUGUUGGUGAGGUAAUGGCCCACCAAGACUAUUACAGGUACGGGCUCUGAGAGGAGAGGCCCGGAGAUGGGUACUGAGACAAGGACCCAGGCCCUAUGGGGCGCAGCAGGCGAGAAAACUUUGCAAUGUGCGAAAGCACGACAAGGUUAAUCCGAGUGAUUUCUGCUAAAGGAAUCUUUUGUUAGUUCUAAAAAUACUAGUGAAUAAGGGGUGGGCAAGUUCUGGUGU
rnacentral:rRNA from 1 species